rnacentral:lncRNA from 10 species
GCGAUAAAGAGCAUUGCUGUAUUUGCAGGGAAAUAACCAGUUAGUCAUUUUCAUUAAAAUGGUCACCCCUGGGUGGCAGUAUAGGAAUACAUGGACAAAAUGAAAUCAUAUUAGCUUCCUUUUCUGGAUAUGGAAAAACAGAUAUCAUAGCACAGUGGACUCUUGCUAAACUUCAUAGCAGGACCUGUAAACCUUAUCUAGGAGGCUUGGCAGGCUGCAAAGUCCAUGUGCUGUUACAGACCGAGACCCUUAUUUUCUUUGGUCUCCAUUUGCUCAUCUGUAAAAAUAUGGGUAUAAUAGUAGGAUUGUUAGGAGGGUUAAAUAUAAUGUUUAGAAUACCCUCCUGCAUAUUAAAUGUGCAUUUUUUUCUCCAGCAAGGUUGCUAUGAGCAUCUUAGCACAUCUCUUGAAGAGGAAGCUAGGGAAUAAGAAGAGUGGGUGUGGGGAGCCCUGGGGACCUUUAGACAGUGGAGUUGCUUGACUUCUGGAGGUUAGUGCAGCCUGCAUGGGGGAUCUAGACCAGCGAGGAAUCAUCUCAAAAUAAACCCACAGCACCAAUUAGACCACAAGGGACUAACUGUCAACAGUUAACAGCAUGUGAUCCUGAGAGGCGAUGGAAACAGUGAAUUGCCGGGCCAGGGCCAUCUCCGCCUGGCUGUGGAAGAGGAACGGGAUCCCUUCCUGGACUGCAUAAGCCCCAGGUUUGUUGGAAACCAAGAUCAAACAACUAAGAGAGUCAAAGCUGAGACUGUGCCCUUUUCACUCCACCAGACCAGCCACCUUUCAAGGGCCUGUGCCUGUGGUAACUGUCUAUGAGCCAGGAAACAGCAACUGGAGAGCAGAUUUGCAAACCAGAAAAGCAACUCAUGAAUACAAAUUGCCUGGAAAGCAUUUAUUACAACAGAAGCUCUGCAAGAUAUACCGGAAAUUGACAGUGGCAUCGAAUUCCCAGCAAGGAAGUUUUCUAAGGACACCAACAGACACCAGCAGAAGACAGCCUUGCAUUUACAACAAACCAUUGAUCCACAACAAACCAUUGAUCCACACUUUCAAAAUCAUUGAGGUGAAGCAUAGAGAACUGGAGUGGAGACGGCUCUGGCAAAUCCAAACAAUAUCAAAAGCACUCUCAUACUGAAAACCCACAGUGCUGAACCACAGCUGAGAUGUAAAAUAUUUCACAAAAUCUUCUUCACCCUCUAUAGUAUUUCACCUGAGAGUGCAUGAUUUAAGUUGCAAGCACUGUCAUAGAUGAUGGGAUUCAGAGAUGAACACAUGGAAAUGGACUUUAUGUUCUCUAAUGUCACAAAGAAAGAGUGAUUAUGAAGAAGACCCAGAUUCCCACCUAUUAAUCUGAGCUUUGAAUUCUUUACUUUGCUGGGUCCACCGGAUUUUUUCUCCACUCAGCCCAUCGAUGAGAGUGGAGGCGGCCUGCAUCUUUUUCCGGCACGUAUCAGCGUCAUUAAGCAAAUCCUGCAGCCAUAAUGGGAGAAUGUCUCAAAAAACUUUUCUAAGUGCUUAACACAAACAUCCAUUAUAUUCACACAUAAAAAUACAUGGGGGAAUUUCUUACUUUGCAAAAUAAUAUAACCUAAAAAUACAGUGUGCAUUGAAACUUCACAUAUUAAAUUUUGAUCAUUCAUAAUAUAGUGAUUUUACCUUAUAAAAUUUCAAGGAAAGCAAUUUUGUAAGACAGAAUCCAAAUCACAUAAUUUAUCUUUUAAUCAGACAAAUUACAAUAGUAUUUCUAUUGAAUAUUUUCAAAACAGAAUCAAAUCAAUAAGAUUUGCCAUUUUGAUGUCUUGGAUGCAGUAAUAAUCCCGAGUUCUUUGUCAUUUACAAAGUAUUUUCUCCUGGAAAAAUCCCAGACAACAAUAGCAUGUAGCAGCCGGCUUGUAUCAACUCUUAAGAGCCAAUUGUUAAAUUUUUAGAGUAUUUGUGAGCUGGUGCUAAACACAGCCUUUAUUAAAAAUUAAACUAUGUAAGCUUACAAUUAAAAAAUUAUAUUAAAAGCAAAAGUAAUAAAUAACAAAAGCUUACUUCCUAAUUAUUUAAAUGUUAAUAUUAUCUAUGGUUUUGAGGUUAAGACCGUUGUAUCUGGAUGGUGGAAAUAGUAUGCGAUGGGGUACUGCCAUGCACCUUUUCCCAAAUCUGUGCUCAGUGACGUUACAUUGGAGUUUAAAAUUGCCAGUGAUGGGAGUAUUUACACCACAGAAAUCAGCAAAUAUUACAAAUCCGGACUUUCCUCUCCCCACACUGCACACUAGAUUGUUAACAUUUACCAGACCACCACUGCUUACAACCUAUCCCAAGAGGUUAUAUUAGGAUCCCCAUUUUACAAACAGAGCUAGGUAGAUUGCCCCUGUCAGGUCUCUGAGCCAAAGCUAAGCCAUCAUAUCCCCUGUGACCUGCAUGUACACAUCCAGAUGGCCGGUUCCUGCCUUAACUGAUGACAUUCCACCACAAAAGAAGUGAAAAUGGCCUGUUCCUGCCUUAACUGAUGACAUUACCUUGUGAAAUUCCUUUUCCUGGCUCAUCCUAGCUCAAAAGCUCCCCCACUGAGCACCUUGUGACCCCCACCCCUGCCCGCCAGAGAACAACUCCCUUUGACUGUAAUUUUCCUUUACCUACCUAAAUCCUAUAAAACGGCCCCACCCCUGUCUCCCUUCGCUGACUCUUUUCGGACUCAGCUCGCCUGCACCCAGGUGAAAUAAACAGCCUUGUUGCUCACACAAAGCCUGUUUGGUGGUCUCUUCACAUGGACGCGCGUGAAAGCCCCAAACCACACAAUUAACAAGUGUCUGAGCUGCAUCUCAAACCCAGUUUUCUA